rnacentral:rRNA from 1 species
ACACGCUGGCGGCGUGCCUAAUACAUGCAAGUCGAACGGUCUUUCUAUGGAAGCUUGCUUCCACUGAGAAGAUAGUGGCGAACGGGUGAGUAACACGUGGGUAACCUGCCCAUAAGAGGGGGAUAACAUCCGGAAACGGGUGCUAAUACCGCAUAGUUUUCUUGAUCGCAUGAUCGGGAAAGGAAAGACGGCCUUUGUGCUGUCGCUUAUGGAUGGACCCGCGGCGUAUUAGUUAGUUGGUGAGGUAACGGCUCACCAAGACGAUGAUACGUAGCCGACCUGAGAGGGUGAUCGGCCACAUUGGGACUGAGACACGGCCCAAACUCCUACGGGAGGCAGCAGUAGGGAAUCUUCCGCAAUGGACGAAAGUCUGACGGAGCAACGCCGCGUGAGUGAAGAAGGUUUUCGGAUCGUAAAACUCUGUUGUCAGAGAAGAACAAGUUGGAGAGUAACUGCUCCAGCCUUGACGGUAUCUGACCAGAAAGCCACGGCUAACUACGUG